AGAGUUUGAUCCUGGCUCAGAUUGAACGCUGGCGGCAUGCCUUACACAUGCAAGUCGAACGGCAGCACGGGUGCUUGCACCUGGUGGCGAGUGGCGAACGGGUGAGUAAUAUAUCGGAACGUACCCUAGAGUGGGGGAUAACGCAGCGAAAGUUGCGCUAAUACCGCAUACGAUCUACGGAUGAAAGUGGGGGAUCGCAAGACCUCAUGCUCAUGGAGCGGCCGAUAUCUGAUUAGCUAGUUGGUGGGGUAAAAGCCUACCAAGGCAUCGAUCAGUAGCUGGUCUGAGAGGACGACCAGCCACACUGGAACUGAGACACGGUCCAGACUCCUACGGGAGGCAGCAGUGGGGAAUUUUGGACAAUGGGCGCAAGCCUGAUCCAGCAAUGCCGCGUGAGUGAAGAAGGCCUUCGGGUUGUAAAGCUCUUUUGUCAGGAAGAAACGGUGAGGGCUAAUAUCCUUUGCUAAUGACGGUACCUGAAGAAUAAGCACCGGCUAACUACGUGCCAGCAGCCGCGGUAAUACGUAGGGUGCAAGCGUUAAUCGGAAUUACUGGGCGUAAAGCGCGCGCAGGCGGUUAUGUAAGUCAGAUGUGAAAUCCCCGGGCUCAACCUGGGAAUGGCAUUUGAGACUGCAUGGCUAGAGUGUGUCAGAGGGGGGUAGAAUUCCACGUGUAGCAGUGAAAUGCGUAGAGAUGUGGAGGAGUACCGAUGGCGAAGGCAGCCCCCUGGGAUAACACUGACGCUCAUGCACGAAAGCGUGGGGAGCAAACAGGAUUAGAUACCCUGGUAGUCCACGCCCUAAACGAUGUCUACUAGUUGUCGGGACUUAAUUGUCUUGGUAACGCAGCUAACGCGUGAAGUAGACCGCCUGGGGAGUACGGUCGCAAGAUUAAAACUCAAAGGAAUUGACGGGGACCCGCACAAGCGGUGGAUGAUGUGGAUUAAUUCGAUGCAACGCGAAAAACCUUACCUACCCUUGACAUGUACGGAACCUCUGAGAGAUUAGAGGGUGCUCGAAAGAGAGCCGUAACACAGGUGCUGCAUGGCUGUCGUCAGCUCGUGUCGUGAGAUGUUGGGUUAAGUCCCGCAACGAGCGCAACCCUUGUCAUUAGUUGCUACGAAAGGGCACUCUAAUGAGACUGCCGGUGACAAACCGGAGGAAGGUGGGGAUGACGUCAAGUCCUCAUGGCCCUUAUGGGUAGGGCUUCACACGUCAUACAAUGGUACAUACAGAGGGCCGCCAACCCGCGAGGGGGAGCUAAUCCCAGAAAGUGUAUCGUAGUCCGGAUUGUAGUCUGCAACUCGACUACAUGAAGUUGGAAUCGCUAGUAAUCGCGGAUCAGCAUGUCGCGGUGAAUACGUUCCCGGGUCUUGUACACACCGCCCGUCACACCAUGGGAGCGGGUUUCACCAGAAGUAGGUAGCCUAACCGCAAGGAGGGCGCUUACCACGGUGGGAUUCGUGACUGGGGUGAAGUCGUAACAAGGUA
rnacentral:rRNA from 1 species